rnacentral:lncRNA from 1 species
AAAUGGAACACUUAAUGAAUUUGCAUAUCAUCCUUGUGUAAGAACCAUGAUAAUCUUCUCGGCAUCAUUAGUAGGACUUAAUUUUAAAUGAGAUUUCACAUAUGAGAUGAAGGAUCAUGCCUAGCACAUAGCAGUAACACUUAUGACUCAUUAAGUAGCUACUAUUAGUAGUGAUACAGCUACCAGCAGUGUGGUCAUUAAAACCUAUGCUCUAGUGGAUAGGGAAAUCUGCCAGAAGAGAAAAAGAGAUUGACAGUUACAGAGCUGAAAUCAGGUAGAAGGCACUUUAUGAAAAAGAAAUCUCUGUUCUCAGGGGUGGAAGUUUUUUCUCUUCUGCUGGGUUAGCACUCUUGCCAGUGCCUCUUCUCCAUGAUUAGUUUCCUAAAAGAUCUAGAGGGCAGAUACCAAUUGUAUUAGUCUGUUUUGUGUUGCUAGUAUAAAGGAAUGCCUGAGACUGGGUAAUUAAUGAAGAAAGAUUUACUUGGCCCAUGGUUCUGCAGGUUGUACAAGCAUGGCAGCAGCAUCAGCUUAGUUUCUGGUGACACUUCAGGAAGAUUUUAUUCAUGGCAGAAGGCAUGGGGGAGCAGGUGUGUCACAUGGGAAGAGAGAGGGACCAAGAGAGAAGAGGAGGUGCCAGGCUCUUUAAACAGCCAGCUUUCUUGUGAAUUAAUAGAGUGAGAACUCACUCAUCGCCAGGGACAACACCAAGCCAUUCAUGAAGGAUCCUCCCCCAUGACCCAAACACUUCCUACUAGGCCCCACCUCCAUCAUUGGGAAUCACAUUUCAACAUGAGAUUUGGAGGGGACAAACAUGCAAACUAUAUCACCAAUUAUUUUUGACUAGAGAGCUAGAUCUGAUUGUACAGAAAGCUUUCCUCUGUGUCUCUCUUUAAAAGCUUUUCUCCAAAACAAAUAACCCAAAUAAAAAGUGGGCAAGGAACUUAGAGAUUUCUCCAAAGAAAAUGUAUACAUUGGCCAAUAAGCACAUGAAAAGAUGCUUGACAUCACUAGUAAUCAGGGAAAUGCAAUGGAAACUACAAUGAGAUGCCACCUCAUAGUCUUUAGGAUGACUAUUAUUAAAAAAAAAAACAGCAGAAAAUCACAGGUGUUGGUGAGGAUGUGGAGCAAUUGGAGCCCUUGUGCAUUGCUGGUAGGAGAGUGAAAUAGUGCACCCACUGUGGGAAACAGUGUAGCAAUUCCUCAAGAAAUUAUAAACAUAGAAUUACCCUGUGACUCAGUAAUUCCACUUCUGGGUAUAUACCUGAUAUGCUUUGGAUCUGUAUCCCUGCCCAAAUCUCAUGUCAAAUUGUAAUCUCCAGUGUUGGAGGUGGGACCUGGUGGGAGGUGAUUGGAUCAUGAGAGCAGUUUCUCAUGAAUGGUUUAGCACCAUCCCACAGUGCUGGUCUUGUGAUAGGGUUCUCACGAGAUCUGGUUGUUUCUAAGUGUGUAGCACCUCCCCAUCUCUCUCUCUUCCUCCUGCUCUGGCCACGUGGCCAUGUGAAGUGCUACUCCCCCUUUGCCUUCCACCAUGGUUGGAAGCUUCCUGAGGCUUCCCCAAAAGCAGAGCAGAAGCUGCUAUGCUUCCUGUAUAGCCUGCAGAACCAUGAGCCAAUUAAACCUCUUUUCUUUAUGCAUUACCGAGUCUCAGGUAUUUCUUUAUAGCAGCGCCAGAACGGAUUAAUGCAAUACCCAAAAGAAUUGAAAGCAGGGUCUCAAGAUAUUUGUGUGCCUAUAUUCAUAGCAGCAUUAUGUACAACAGCCCAAAGGUGGAAGCAACUCACGUGUCCACCAGCGGAUGAAUGGAUAAACAAAAUGUGGUAUAUAUAUAUACAAUGGAAUAUUAUUCAGCCUUAAAAAGGGAUAAAAUUCUGAUACAUGUUACAACAUGGAUGAACCUUGAAAACAUUAUGCUAACUGAAGCAAAGUACACACAAAAGGACAAAUUUGUAUGAUUCCACUAGAAUAGUCAAAGUCAUAGAAACAGAAAGUAGAAUAGUGGUUACACGGGACUAUGGGGAAGUGGAAAAUGGAAAGUUAUUUAAUGGGUAUAGAAUUUUGGUUGGAGAUGAUAAAAAACUUUUUCUACACUUAUAAGACUUCUGACACCAAAUACAUGGGGUUUUCUCCCUACAGCUCUCAGUUCUCUGUCCUAGCAUUUAAUUCAAUUUUGAUACUAUCUCCCUGGAGUGAGUGUCAGACACCACAGGUUAAGGACUGAGUUGUAUAAGACUUCCACCACUUCAGAUGCCAGUUGCAAGCCCCAGGCCUCUGGUACUUCUGACUUGGCUACAAAUCAAGUUCAGUCAUUGGCUACAAUGAUUCAUUGAAUGCAGGGAAACACUUUACUUACUAUUACCAGUUUAUUAUAAAGGAUAUACAGAUGAAAAGGCACAUAGGGUGAGGUCUGGAAGGGUCCCCAGUGCAGGAGCUUAUGUCUCCAUGGAGUUGGGGUGCAUCACUCUUUCAGCACGUGGAUGUGUUCAUCGAUCCAGAAGAAAUUCUCUGAGUCCCAUCAUUUAGGGUUUUUAUGGAGGCUUCACCCUGUAGGCAUGAUUGAUUAAAUUAUUGGUCAUUGGUGAUUAGGUCAGUCUCUAGUCCUUCUCCCCUCCCUGGAGGUGGGGCUGAAAGUUCUGACUAUGUAAUCACAUGAUUGAUUUCUUGGGUGACCAGCUUCCCUACCCACUCCCCUGCAGCUUUGUAGGGGCCUACCAAGAGUCAUCUCUUUAGCAUAAGCUCAAAUAUGUUUGAAAGGGACUUAUUAUGAAUAGCAAAAGAUAAUUCUUCCACCCUUAUCAUUCGGGAAAUUCCAAAGGUUUUAGGGGCAGUGUGCCAGGAAUUUCUUACUAGAUCACCAUAUUAUAGAUGAUGAAAAAGUUUGGGAAAUGGAUAACAGUAAUUGUUGCACAAGAGCUGAAUGUAUGGAUCACUGAAUUGUACAUGUUAAAAUAGUAAACUUUAUGUUGUGUAUAUUCUGCCACAAUAAUAAAAAAAAGCCUUUAGCCAAUCAUAAACAGCUCUCUCCUUUCUUCUGAACUUUUCCUGAGUCUCUUCAAAACUGAAGAGACAUCCUUAGCAGAAGUUACAACCUGUCCACAAACUUGCAAACUGCUGUUCCAAGGUUGGAAACAGAGAAAAUAAAGAAAGAGGACCAAAUAUAGUCCCUUCAUUUUUUCUGCCGUAAGGCCUUUUAUGACUGACUGAGCUGUUUCAUGUGUUUUGGUGUUUGCAGACUUUUCAGAAACAGCUCCAGUCCUCUCACUUCACACUUUCUUUCCUGUCCUGCCCUCAUGUUUUCAUAUAAUUUAACACAGAUGCUUUCUGCUACUUCUUAGAGAAGAUUGAAAUACAGUGGCUGUUAGGAAGAGGUGCUGCCUUAUGUACUUUCAUCUUAAUUUCAUUUGAUUAUUGUUCUACAUAAUUUUUGCUUCUGUCACACGACAAUUUUUUCUCUUCUUCCUUUUAUCUGACCUUUGAACAUGUCCCUUUUCAUAGCUCUUAGGACUUUAUUCCUGUAAUCACACUUUUGCCCCCCAGUUUAAAAAUCUGUUUCUACGAGUGUAUUCUGUUUCAGCCUUCCAACAUGGUCAGGCCUUGUUUAUUAAUGAAACUACUCUAGGUUGCAAAUUAGUUAUUGUUUUGGCAAGACCAGAAACUUUUUCUCUGUUCUUAACAUUCCUCAUAUCUGUUUCUUGAAGUUUUCUCUGGCAUUUUGAUUCUCCUGUUGCCUCUGUUUCUCUGCCUGCUUUAUGUUCGGUUAUGAACUGAUCUUCACAGUGCAUAAUUGACAGUGACUUUGCAUUUUCUAUCUUUUCCUCCUUUAUUUAUUUAUUUUGCAUAGUUAUUUCCUUGGUGAGUUUAUCUACUCUAAUGGCUUCAAUUUGAUUGAAAUGACCCACAAAUACUUUUGAGACUUGGAAUUUUUGUACUCAGUCUUAUUCACUAUUUCCAGUCUCCUAAAUAACAUUUGAUUACUGGCGUGAGCCACCGUGCUCAGCCCACCUAAUCUUACCGUGUUCAGCCCACCUAAUCUUUACUAAUUGGCGUUGUCACUUUUUCCAGUUCACAUUUGGUGUGUGAUUCUUUCCUCUGCUUGGUUUCCUAUAUUAUUUACUGUUACUUAGGUCUCUUAAGACUCAAGGUAGAGAAGUACAUAGAUUAUCUUCAGUAAUAGAAGUUUAUUGUGAGGAUACUUGGGAAAUGUGCAUGGGGUAGCAUGCUCCCUCUGAGCUCCAGUGUUUUCUAAUACUGGGUUGUUUAACAGGCUCCAUUAACACAGGGACUAACAGCUUAGAGUCACUUGGAAUAAUGACUUGAGCUCCAGUGACUUUUGUCUUUGUUCAGUUAGCAUGUAUACUUUGCUGAAAUCUAAGAUUAAUUGGGUCAUUUUGCAACCAUAAAAUUUGGAAUAUCCCCAUUGGCCAUUUCAGCCCUGGUAGGGAUGCUUUUGGCCUUUGCAUCGACUUCUAGCCAUAUAUGUGUAUUUUUUAUUGCUGUGGUAGCAAAACUGAUUUAAGUUGAAGCAGGUCAUGGUUAGCCAUAAGCGUUUAUAUAGGAAGAUAUAUUUUUUUUUUCCCAUAAAGGCAUGUUUUAAGUCACAGACAUUUUGAGGUUCCUUUAGGUCUCCAGGAGUUAGCAAAUUUGUUUUCAUUUGUUUAUUCAUUUAUUUAUUAGAUAUGUUAUUUAAACAGUAGUGUGUGAGGUUCUGUGGUAGGUAUUUAAUGGAAAUAGGCUAGAUAAGACAUGAUCCAUAUCUUUAUGGAAUUCAUAUUCUAGCUCUAGUGAUAUUCUCAUACAGUACAUAAUAAUGAAAGGAAUAAUGAAUCACUGUACUAAGUACUACAAUGAGGCAGGUGCCAAGUGCUGUGGGACCAUAGUAGACAGUGGGACUAGUUCUUUGUGUAUGUGUGUGUGCUUGUGUGGAUGGGUGGGGACAGUGGUAGAAGUGAGGAGGUGAUUUCUUUAAACUUCCCAGAGAAAAUUUUUGAUUGUGUCUUUAAGGAGGUGGUUAAUUUUGACAGGCAGAGAGAAGGGGAAGAUCAUGUUGUAAGAGAAAAUGGUGAUAUAGAGGUAGGGCCUGUAUUAUCUCAUCAUGAAGAGAUAGCUGCUAGUCCCUUCUCAAAUCAGUUAUGAAGGUCUCCUGCAUUAUCUUCAUUCAUUCAUUUUCCAACACAAAAUUUGAAUGCCUUUCCCAUUCCUGUGUUCUACUGUCUAUUUCUUAUGUAACAUACAAGUGACUGCACACUAUCUGCUUUUUAUAUUACAGUUAUUAUUAUUAUUAUUAUUAUUAUUUUUUGGAGAUGGAGUUUUGCUCUUGUCGCCCAGGCUAGAGUGCAGUGGCAUGAUCUUGGCUCACUGCAACUCUGCCUCCUGGGUUCAAGCAAUUCUCCUGCCUUAGCCUCCCGAGUAGCUGGGAUUACAGGCACCCGCCACCAUGCCUGGCUAAUUUUUGUAUUUUUAGUGGAGACGGGGUUUCACCAUUUUGGCCAGGCUGGAACUCCUGACCUCAAGUGAUCUGCCCGCCUCGGCCUCCCAAAGUGCUGGGAUUACAGGCGUGAGCCACCGCGCCCGGCCUAUAUUACAGUUAUUGUGGGAGUUUUAAAAUGUUAUGUGAGAAUUCAGGACCUUUAAGAAGUAGUUCACUCUGGCUAGGCUGUAGGAAACAGAAAUGAGAUGACUGAGAAGGUCUUAGGUUCCGCAGUUAGUUAUGAGUUUUGUCUUGCAUGUAGUGAGAAAUGAUUCUGCUUUUGAAAUAUCUCUUGAAUUAUUUCCCAUCAUUCUCGCUAUUUUUAGCUCAGAUCUUUAUCACCAGAUUUUUGCAAGAAACAAAACUACCCCCUAGUUUUGCACAUUUCCAGUUCUCUUAUAAAAUUUGGCUUAUAGGACAUUUAGAAGAUUAGGAAGAAGUCCCUGGAGGAAGAGUAUCUUGGUUCAUCUUAUACAGUCAGCAGUGUUCCGCCAUUAGCAUAACCACCAUAAUUUAGCACUUCAGAAUUUUAUUCUCUGAUUCUCUCAUACCACAUUUUCCUAAUAACAUAAAUGAAAUUGCUAUUGACCUAGACCAACUAUUAUGUAAUAUGGCAUAGUGAUUUGGAAUUUAGGAAGCAUAAAAGAAGCUAAAAGUUCAUCUGUUUAAUAUUUCUUGAGUGCAUACAUUGUAUAGCACUGGGAGAAGAGAAACUACUGAAUCCUGUGCUCUAGAGGCUCAUAGGUUAAUGGUUGUAAUAGUGUAUUUCAAAGUGGAGAUAACUAGUUGAGUUGAAGAUAAGAAAUUCUUGGGAAGACUUCCAAAAGGAUAUCUACCUUAAAAAAGGUGACUAUUGUGUUAUACUUGAUAGUAACUGAUGGAACUGAUAGAGUCCACUUUGGUGUUUACUAGCAUCCUAAUAAUGAGAGACACUAUAUUGUAUCUGGGACAGGGUUUAUUUGGUUUGAUUCUGUUUUGCCAUUUAUUACUCAAGUGACUGAGGAAGUCAUUUAAGUCUUAACGUUUUCUUAUCUAAAAACUGAGAAUAUCGUAGUAACUACCAAAAAGAUUGUUAUAGGGAUUAAAUAAGAAAAUGCUUGUUUGGCCAGGUGUGGUGGCUCACGCCUGUAAUCCCAGCACUUUGGGAGGCCGAGGUGGGCGGAUCACUUGAGGCCAGGAGUUCAAGACUAGCCUGACCAAAAUGUUGAAACCCCAUCUCUACUAAAAAUACAAAAAUUAGCCAGGCGUGGUGGUGUACACCUGUAAUCCCAGCUACUUGGGAGGCUGAGUUGGGAGGAUUGCUUGAACCUGGGAGGCGGAGGUUGCAGAGAGCCAAGAUUGCACCACUGCACUCCAGCCUAGGCAACAGAGUGAGACUCUGUCUCAAAAAAAAAAGAAAGAAAAUGCUUGUUAAGUGUCAGCACAAUGCCAAAAAAAGAACCUAAUAAAUGUCAGCUACCUUUAUUAUUAUGUUUCAUUUAGCUUUUAUUCAUCUAUCUUUCCCACUAGAUUGGGAGCCUCUUGGUUAUCAAGGGCUACAACUUAAUUUUCUUUGGAUUACCCUAGCAGGUAACUUAUUGUCUACAAAUUCAGUAAGUGUGUAUUGAAUGAAUAUAAUGGACUAAUUUUUUAAAACUGAUUUUAUAAUUUUUUGUACCCGUUUUAAAGAUUCAUUUUAGAAGUAUUAGUUUCCUAAAGAUAGUAAGGUUAUGUUAUUGCUCAGCAGCAGAAUUCACUCACAGGGAUAAGACUGAUUAACAGGUUAUUGUUUUUACUAUUUCUUUUCUUUUUUUUUCUUUUUUUUUUUUUUUGAAACAGAGUCUCACUCUGUUGCCCAGGCUGGAGUGCAGUGGCGCGAUCUUGGCUCACUGCAAGCUCCGCCUCCUGGGUUCAUGUCAUUCUCCUACCUUAGCCUCCCGAGUAGCUGGGACUACAGGCGUCCCCUACCAUGCCCGGCUAAUUUUUUGUAUUUUUAGUAGAGACGGGGUUUCACCAUGUUAGCUAGGAUGCUGGUCUCCAUCUCCUGACCUCGUGAUCUGCCUGCUUUGGCCUCCCAAAGUGCUGGGAUUACAGGCGUGAGCCACCAUGCCUGGCCUGUUUUUACUAUUUCUGAUUGCCGUGGCCAGUUUAUUCAUUCAAAGUAUAGAAGAGGCCUUUCUUUUUUCAGUGUAUAAGAUGAUUUUAUUGAAUGCAUUUCAUGAAGUAAUUAUUGAAUCAGGCAAAUAAAUUUUAAUUUUGUUAUGUGAGAUACAAUUUUAAAGGUUUUCCCCCAAUAACAGAAAAAACUGAAUGUUUAUUUGAGAAACCGUAUGAAACAAAAGCGUAGAGAGAAUCAUACCCCAAGGGAAACCCUGUUGUCUGGAAUUCUAAAACCUUUACCUGCAACAAGUAUGUAUUGUUCUUAUUAUGUUCCAGGUACAGUUUUUUGUGCUGGGGAUAAAGCAGUGAAUGAAACAAAGUCUGUCAGUAUUUGGCAGAAAUACACACAUAUGCAAACACGCACAUACACACACAGAUGCUCACAUUUAAAAAAUGGUUCAAUUCUGUACAUAUUAUUUUGUAACCUGCCUUUUUUUCUCUUAGAAGUAUAUUGUGAAUUCUUUUUAUAUCAAUGAGUUUUCUGCAACAUGAUUUUUAGUGGCUACUUGGUAUCUCAUGGAAUGAGUGUU